GUGCUUACUCUGGCAGUACACAUACUAAAAUUAAAAUGAUGCAAAGAUUAGCAUGGAUCUGAAUAAGGAUGACAUGAAAUUUCUGAAGUGCUUCAUAUUUUU